AGAGUUUGAUCCUGGCUCAGGAUGAACGCUAGCGGCAGGCCUAACACAUGCAAGUCGAGGGGUAACAGGAGAGCUUGCUCUCGCUGACGACCGGCGCACGGGUGAGUAACGCGUAUGCAACCUACCUUUAACAGGGGGAUAGCCCGAAGAAAUUCGGAUUAAUACCCCAUACAACUAUAGAUAAGCAUUUAUUUAUAUUUAAAACUCCGGUGGUUAAAGAUGGCCAUGCGUGACAUUAGAUAGUUGGUAAGGUAACGGCUUACCAAGUCUACGAUGUCUAGGGGGUCUGAGAGGAUGGUCCCCCACACUGGUACUGAGACACGGACCAGACUCCUACGGGAGGCAGCAGUGAGGAAUAUUGCGCAAUGGAGGAAACUCUGACGCAGCCAUGCCGCGUGCAGGAUGACAGCCCUACGGGUUGUAAACUGCUUUUAUACAGGAAGAAUUUUCCGCACGUGUGCGGGAUUGACGGUACUGUACGAAUAAGCACCGGCUAACUCCGUGCCAGCAGCCGCGGUAAUACGGAGGGCGCAAGCGUUAUCCGGAUUUAUUGGGUUUAAAGGGUGCGUAGGCGGAGUAAUAAGUCAGUGGUGAAAUCCUGCAGCUUAACUGUAGAAUUGCCAUUGAUACUGUUAUUCUUGAGUUCGAUUGAGGUAGGCGGAAUGUGUAAUGCAGCGGUGAAAUGCUUAGAUAUUACACAGAACACCGAUUGCGUAGGCAGCUUACUAAGUCGAUACUGACGCUGAGGCACGAAAGCGUGGGGAGCGAACAGGAUAGAUACCCUGGUAGUCCACGCCGUAAACUAUGAUCACUAGCUGUUGGCGAUACAUCGAUCAGCGGCAAAGCGAAAGCAUUAAGUGAUCCACCUGGGGAGUACGGUCGCAAGAUUGAAACUCAAAGGAAUUGACGGGGGCCCGCACAAGCGGUGGAACAUGUGGUUUAAUUCGAUGAUACGCGAGGAACCUUACCUGGGCUUAAAUGCAGAUUGACGUUUCGGGAAACCGGAAUUCCCUUCGGGGCGAUUUGCAAGGUGCUGCAUGGUUGUCGUCAGCUCGUGCCGUGAGGUGUCGGGUUAAGUCCCAUAACGAGCGCAACCCCUAUCGUUAGUUGCCAGCGGAUAAUGCCGGGGACUCUAACGAAACUGCCGGUGUAAACCGAGAGGAAGGUGGGGAUGACGUCAAAUCAGCACGGCCCUUAUGUCCAGGGCUACACACGUGUUACAAUGGUCGGUACAGAGGGCAGCUACCUGGUGACAGGAUGCUAAUCUCGAAAGCCGGUCUUAGUUCGGAUCGAAGUCUGCAACUCGACUUCGUGAAGU
rnacentral:rRNA from 1 species